CAUAGAGGUUAUUUAAAAACUGGUUGAGAAUCAAGAAGGACGGUUAACCUCUUUUAUUUGAUCGAAAGUCAAAGGGUAACUAGGUGCACAUUUUGUGGUCCAAGUUUGCUCUUCUCUCGAAUGGACAAUGGUCGUUUGGAAGUGACUCGAGGAACUGAGGAUGGUAGAAUAUAUAUAUAUAUAUAUAUAUAUAUAUAUAUAUAUGUAUAUGUAUAUAAGUGUCAAAGGUUAACUGGAUUCAUUUGGAGACCAUAGGCUUGCGUAUAAUAUGGUAUGGGCACACACAGCAUCACCCUUCUUUAUUCCGGAUGGACCAGUUUUUCAACAGGCACGUUAGCUAUAGUAAAAUUUUCAACGUGAUUCUGGGACCCGGGCCAGGACCUCGGCACGCGAACUAACAGGUUUCCACGAGAGUUCCUGAAUCUGUCGACGAUGGAAAAUAGAUCGUGAUCUAGAUCAGGUGAAAACUGGUCCACUCUUGGUAUGCUCUUUCAUUUCUUUUGUAAGUAUUGUAGGAUUGUUUAGAGAUCAAAGUUCAUUGUAUUGAAAUACGUGUAUCAUUGAUACACCUUACUUCGUAAAUAACACACGCACGCGAUCAGAUUUAUUUUUAAAUAUAAUACAUAAUUCAAUCGUAAAUUGAUUGUAUAUAAGAAAAAAAAAAAAAA